GUUUGAUCCUGGCUCAGGAUGAACGCCGGCGGUGUGCCUAAUACAUGCAAGUCGUACGCACUGGCCCAACUGAUUGAUGGUGCUUGCACCUGAUUGACGAUGGAUCACCAGUGAGUGGCGGACGGGUGAGUAACACGUAGGUAACCUGCCUCGGAGCGGGGGAUAACAUUUGGAAACAGAUGCUAAUACCGCAUAACAACAAAAGCCACAUGGCUUUUGUUUGAAAGAUGGCUUUGGCUAUCACUCUGGGAUGGACCUGCGGUGCAUUAGCUAGUUGGUAAGGUAACGGCUUACCAAGGCAAUGAUGCAUAGCCGAGUUGAGAGACUGAUCGGCCACAAUGGAACUGAGACACGGUCCAUACUCCUACGGGAGGCAGCAGUAGGGAAUCUUCCACAAUGGGCGCAAGCCUGAUGGAGCAACACCGCGUGAGUGAAGAAGGGUUUCGGCUCGUAAAGCUCUGUUGUUGGAGAAGAACGUGCGUGAGAGUAACUGUUCACGCAGUGACGGUAUCCAACCAGAAAGUCACGGCUAACUACGUGCCAGCAGCCGCGGUAAUACGUAGGUGGCAAGCGUUAUCCGGAUUUAUUGGGCGUAAAGCGAGCGCAGGCGGUUGCUUAGGUCUGAUGUGAAAGCCUUCGGCUUAACCGAAGAAGUGCAUCGGAAACCGGGCGACUUGAGUGCAGAAGAGGACAGUGGAACUCCAUGUGUAGCGGUGGAAUGCGUAGAUAUAUGGAAGAACACCAGUGGCGAAGGCGGCUGUCUGGUCUGCAACUGACGCUGAGGCUCGAAAGCAUGGGUAGCGAACAGGAUUAGAUACCCUGGUAGUCCAUGCCGUAAACGAUGAGUGCUAGGUGUUGGAGGGUUUCCGCCCUUCAGUGCCGGAGCUAACGCAUUAAGCACUCCGCCUGGGGAGUACGACCGCAAGGUUGAAACUCAAAGGAAUUGACGGGGGCCCGCACAAGCGGUGGAGCAUGUGGUUUAAUUCGAAGCUACGCGAAGAACCUUACCAGGUCUUGACAUCUUGCGCUAACCUUAGAGAUAAGGCGUUCCCUUCGGGGACGCAAUGACAGGUGGUGCAUGGUCGUCGUCAGCUCGUGUCGUGAGAUGUUGGGUUAAGUCCCGCAACGAGCGCAACCCUUGUUACUAGUUGCCAGCAUUAAGUUGGGCACUCUAGUGAGACUGCCGGUGACAAACCGGAGGAAGGUGGGGACGACGUCAGAUCAUCAUGCCCCUUAUGACCUGGGCUACACACGUGCUACAAUGGACGGUACAACGAGUCGCAAGCUCGCGAGAGUAAGCUAAUCUCUUAAAGCCGUUCUCAGUUCGGACUGUAGGCUGCAACUCGCCUACACGAAGUCGGAAUCGCUAGUAAUCGCGGAUCAGCAUGCCGCGGUGAAUACGUUCCCGGGCCUUGUACUCACCGCCCGUCA
rnacentral:rRNA from 1 species